AGACCCGAAACCCGGUGAUCUAGCCAUGGGCAGGUUGAAGGUUGGGUAACACUAACUGGAGGACCGAACCGACUAAUGUUGAAAAAUUAGCGGAUGACCUGUGGCUGGGGGUGAAAGGCCAAUCAAACCGGGAGAUAGCUGGUUCUCCCCGAAAGCUAUUUAGGUAGCGCCUCGUGAAUUCAUCUCCGGGGGUAGAGCACUGUUUCGGCUAGGGGGCCAUCCCGGCUUACCAACCCGAUGCAAACUGCGAAUACCGGAGAAUGUUAUCACGGGAGACACACGGCGGGUGCUAACGUCCGUCGUGAAGAGGGAAACAACCCAGACCGCCAGCUAAGGUCCCAAAGUCAUGGUUAAGUGGGAAACGAUGUGGGAAGGCCCAGACAGCCAGGAUGUUGGCUUAGAAGCAGCCAUCAUUUAAAGAAAGCGUAAUAGCUCACUGGUCGAGUCGGCCUGCGCGGAAGAUGUAACGGGGCUAAACCAUGCACCGAAGCUGCGGCAGCGACACUCAGGUGUUGUUGGGUAGGGGAGCGUUCUGUAAGCCUGUGAAGGUGUGCUGUGAGGCAUGCUGGAGGUAUCAGAAGUGCGAAUGCUGACAUAAGUAACGAUAAAGCGGGUGAAAAGCCCGCUCGCCGGAAGACCAA
rnacentral:rRNA from 1 species